GCUCAGGAUGAACGCUAGCUACAGGCUUAACACAUGCAAGUCGAGGGGUAGCAGGGUAGCAAUACCGCUGACGACCGGCGCACGGGUGAGUAACACGUACCCAACCUUCCCAUAACUCAGGGAUAGCCUUUCGAAAGAAAGAUUAAUACCUGAUAGUACUUAAGAAAGGCAUCUUUUUUAAGUUAAAGAUUUAUUGGUUAUGGAUGGGGAUGCGUUCCAUUAGAUAGUUGGUGAGGUAACGGCUCACCAAGUCUUCGAUGGAUAGGGGUUCUGAGAGGAAGGUCCCCCACAUUGGUACUGAGACACGGACCAAACUCCUACGGGAGGCAGCAGUGAGGAAUAUUGGUCAAUGGGCGAGAGCCUGAACCAGCCAAGUAG
rnacentral:rRNA from 1 species